GGGCCCGCACAAGCGGAGGAACAUGUGGUUUAAUUCGAUGAUACGCGAGGAACCUUACCCGGGAUUGAAAUGAGGAGGAAUACAGGUGAAAGUCUGUAGCCAGCGAUGGUCUCCUUGUAGGUGCUGCAUGGUUGUCGUCAGCUCGUGCCGUGAGGUGUCGGCUUAAGUGCCAUAACGAGCGCAACCCUGACUGUCAGUUGCUAACAGGUUAAGCUGAGGACUCUGGCGGGACUGCCGGCGUAAGCUGUGAGGAAGGUUGGGAUGACGUCAAAUCAGCACGGCCCUUACAUCCGGGGCGACACACGUGUUACAAUGGCAGGGACAAAGGGCAGCUACCUGGCGACAGGAUGCUAAUCUCCAAACCCUGUCUCAGUUCGGAUCGGAGUCUGCAACCCGACUCUGUGAAGCUGGAUUCGCUAGUAAUCGCGCAUCAGCCAUGGGCGCGGUGAAUACG
rnacentral:rRNA from 1 species